AUGAGAUUUCCCAUAACUUUAUGUUAGUAAGAGCCCUGAGAGAUGAUCAGGUAGAUAGGUUGGAAGUGGAAGUGUGGCGACACAUGUAGCGGACCAAUACUAAUCGCUCGAGGACUUAUCCAAG
rnacentral:rRNA from 1 species